AUGUGCCAAACCUGGUGUCAGUGCUGUGGAGCUGCUUUACAGAACUGGAUCAUGCUACAUAGGACCCAAGAAUUCACAUACCUGGAAGGCAGCAAGUCAUGGGUAACAGUCAGGAGUGCUGGGGAUUUUCAUCAGCCAGACAGCAUAUUCCAUGUCUUAAGUGACCAGGCCUCCCCAUCCCCAGGUCAUUAUGGCUUCCAGUUAGGUAGACGUCAGUGCAUUAGGGGCUGUGGAAGGCUUGAGGACAUGAAGGCAUCUACAUAUAAUCCCUGUUCUUCAAGAGCCUGUAUUCUUCUUAGAGGAGAAAUCUGGGAUGAAGGUCGUACUGCUUUGGAGACCAUGAUGAAGAGCCUGGGAUCUUAACCUUUAUACAGACUGGCAUCCUGGUGAAUAGAUUGUAUCUUAUGGACUCUCUCUUUCCUUGUGAGUAUAUAUGAAAUGCUGGACAAAUAACCUUCACACCACCACAACAAAGACAGGAUUCUCAGAAUUCUCAGGCAAUUUAUCACCUCUUCAUAUUACUCGGUAAUUUACUCUUCAUUCCUUAAUUUCUUAUAUUUAAAAAUAAUAGAAUCCACUUCUUAAAGUUUUAUGAGAGUAAAACUAAAUGAGGUAAUGUUUAUAAAGAGAUUAGCAAUAGCCAUCACAUACUAGGUACUCAAUGUAAUUUAUUCUUUCUAUUAUCAUAAUAUACAUGUCUCCAGUGGUUCAAAAUGAACUAUCUAUAUAUAUAUAUGUACAUUUAUAGUUUACUAUAUAUACUACUAAGAUUGCUAUUAAAAUAGUAAAAAUUACUCUUUCUUAAGUAUUUCACAUCUUACAGG
rnacentral:lncRNA from 12 species